GGCAGCCGCCGCGGGAACACCGGCAGCUCUAGUGGUAGCAAUUUUAUUGGGCCUAAAGCGUCCGUAGCCGGUUAAUAAGUCUCUGGUGAAAUCCUGCAGCUUAACUGUGGGAAUUGCUGGAGAUACUAUUAGACUGAGACCGGGAGAGGUUAGAGGUACUCCCAGGGUAGAGGUGAAAUUCUGUAAUCCUGGGAGGACCGCCUGUUGCGAAGGCGUCUAACUGGAACGGUUCUGACGGUGAGGGACGAAAGUUAGGGGCGCGAACCGGAUUAGAUACCCGGGUAGUCCUAACUGUAAACGAUGCGGACUUGGUGUUGGGUGGCUUUGAGCUGCUUCAGUGCCGAAGGGAAGCUGUUAAGUCCGCCGCCUGGGAAGUACGGUCGCAAGACUGAAACUUAAGGAAUUGGCGGGGGAGCACCACAACGCGUGGAGCCUGCGGUUUAAUUGGAUUCAACGCCGGACAUCUCACCAGAGGCGACAGCUGUAUGAUAGCCAGGUUGAUGACUUUGCUUGACUAGCUGAGGAGUGGUGCAUGG
rnacentral:rRNA from 1 species